rnacentral:snRNA from 1 species
GAAUGUGAGGGUGAUCUAUCUGCCACCUCUUUCACACCACUAAUCUCCACAGUUGAUUCAGCUAUUGGGCUGGCUGUGGGGAGGGGUGUCCCUCUCCUCCCUCACUCUUCCGUGUGUGUCCCUCUGAAGCUUGGUGGAAAAGAACAGGGAGGCUGACCUCCCCCAAAUAGAGGAGGUCACUCACUUAAGAGUAGUUGCACUCCCCUGCCAGAGCCCCAACAAGCUCUCAAUUGUCAAACAGGAAAGAACAGAGACUUGCUCAGACCUCAAAGAGUCAGCUU